GUUAUGUUUGUAAACUACCUUCCAUUGCGCAUCCGAUUUCAAUAUUUGCAUUAUAGGCAAACACUGAUUGUAGUCGUUAUCGUAUCCUGCAGCUGACACCUUACAAUACACGCUUUUGACAUCAUAGAGCAUUUGCACGUGCUAGCGAAAUAUCCGUCGCGACAAUAUCAGAAAUAUUAGAGUAAAUUGAUUGCUUAAAUAAAGAAAACUUAGUUAAGCAAACAUGAAGCCAGCUCAAGUUGUUGACGAAAUGUUUCCGGAAGGACCUUUCAUGGAUUGCGAUGAGAUGGGUGGUUCGAAUUUAAUGAGCGUCGAGAUUUCGCCGGAACGCUUUGUUCACGUGGAUUUUCAGAAUGAUUUUGGUGAGCUCUUUGAUGAUGAAGACCUGGAUUGAAUCAUUAUAAUGUUUGCCAUUGGAUGAAUUAAUAAUAACUUGUAAUUAUUGAUAUUAUUAAUGAAAUAAAUACAUUGAUUCACA